rnacentral:rRNA from 1 species
AGUAACGCGUGAGGAACCUGCCUCAAAGAGGGGGACAACAGUUGGAAACGACUGCUAAUACCGCAUAAGCCCACAGCUCGGCAUCGAGCAGAGGGAAAAGGAGCAAUCCGCUUUGAGAUGGCCUCGCGUCCGAUUAGCUGGUUGGUGAGGUAACGGCCCACCAAGGCGACGAUCGGUAGCCGGACUGAGAGGUUGAACGGCCACAUUGGGACUGAGACACGGCCCAG